AAAAGCCACCUGAUCCGAGAUAACAUUUUCUGCCGCCAGCUUGUGGCUCCGCUGCUGCUCCUUAUCAUCUGAACGAUAAACCGCUCCUCAGUUCACCUGCUACACACACCUGUUUUAGUUUCACUUCACCAUAAUCACUGCAAUCACAUUUUUAAAGUUGUUGGGUUUUUUUCUUAACUGAUUUCCGUCAGCUGUGCUACAAGUUUCCACGAGACGCCAUUCUAGUUUCCUGAGGCAGCGGAAGAUUGUUCGCUACUUUUAUGUUUUGACCUUCUGGAAACCCUUCGAGAGAUUUUUUUUCCCUCUUUAGUUACCUUGAGGAUACUAAUUCAGAAGUACUCCCUAAAGGCUACUGUGCGAAAGGACCUCAAAAGUGUGAAGCAGCUUUUACGAGGUAACGUUUAGAAAAUCUUCUUGAAACUUUGCUGCAAGCCUUCACUUUGGGAACUCGGGAAGCAUUGACUGACGGUACAAUGUGUAUUCAGGAAAGAUUUUGGUGACUGUUCCUGAAAAUCUUGAGCAACCUUCACACUGUGACAUGAAGAGAACUGAAAUGUUCCCAGCUGUGUCCUGAGAGACUCUGGGAAAUGUUCCAUGAAGGUACCUGGAGAAACCAUAGCAACCUUCAAAAUUUCCCUUGCACGCAACUUUGCUAAAUGUUGACCAGUUGCACCUCGACAGCUUGUGGCAGCUUUCACCGUGUAACAUGCAUGAAGCCUUAAGAAAUUUUCUUUAAAAUGUUUCCUAAAAAUUUGUUGCAACCGUUUGCAUCUACCAGACGGAAAACCUGGGAAAUCCUGCCGAUGUUUACCUUGAAUACAUAUAGCGAACAAUUGGUAGAAUAUUCUCUAAACGCAGCAAAUGUCCCAAUAUGACAUGUAACUAACCUUAACCUGUUGUAACCUGCACAAUGCGACAUACAGGAAACGUUUGGAAAAUAUUUAAUGACGGUUUCUCUAAAGGUAAAGGCAGUAGUAUUCCCAAUAAAACAGGCCGGAACCUUUUGACAGACCUUUGACUAAAAGUUUCCAUAAAAAUCAGGUGAAAUAUUUAUGCACUAAUGGAAAGUUUUCAAAAAAAAGGUUCCACCUACAGAUUACAGCUUAUAACCUUUAGAGAUCCUUUUGGGGAACAUAACCGGAGGAUUCACUGAAGAUUAGAAAGUCUGUAACUCCAGUAAAGUUAUUUAUUUACUUUUUUCUGAAGGUGCAACUUUUAGGGAAACGGUUUCCUGCUGGCUGGGGUUUGUCUGCCAGUCAGAGAAACGUUUAGCCGUAUUUCCGAUGAGAUGCAAUGAAAAUGCAAAUGUCACAAAGAAACAAAAACAGACAGUUUCUCAGAUUUUUUUGUAAGGGCUCGGGAUAAUAAAUAACAAAUGGUUGCUCAACAUGAUAAUGUUUUGACAUGUUUUAUGACCGGUGACUCGUUUAAACGUUCAUUUUUAACAGUUUCUUCACGUGUUUCGAAUAUUCUUGUUAGGAAACUGAAACUGUGUCACAAAUUACUAAACCAAACUAUUAAACCAGUGAGGUCAGCUUCUUAAUAUUUGACAACUAUGAACUAAGAGAUCAACAUUUAACUCUUAGUUUCAGACUCACAGCUCAGACGACAGCGUUAUUAGAAAGGAACUGGGAGCAUGUGACUGGCAGGUAUUUGUUGAUGCUCCAGGUGUGUCAUUUUCCACUGAUCAUUCAAACAAUAAAUCAUCCUUAAUGUCUACUCCCCGUAGCGUUGCGCCUGUUCAUAUUGCAUUUAUAUUUGGAUGUGUCAUAAGGGGGGGGAAACAAGCAACUGAAUGUCCUGAAGGAAAAAAAGAAACCACAGAACACGAGAAAGAGAGAUCCAGUGAGUAAUCAGCAGGAAACAACAGAAACAUUGUGAGAGCUUUAAAAA